rnacentral:rRNA from 1 species
GAUGAACGCUAGCGGCAGGCCUAACACAUGCAAGUCGAGGGGUAGAAUUAGCUUGCUAAUUUGAGACCGGCGCACGGGUGCGUAACGCGUAUGCAAUCUGCCUUGUACUGAGGGAUAGCCCAGAGAAAUUUGGAUUAAUACCUCAUAGUAUUAUGAUGUGGCAUCACAUUAUAAUUAAAGUUCCAACGGUACAAGAUGAGCAUGCGUCCCAUUAGUUAGUUGGUAAGGUAACGGCUUACCAAGACGAUGAUGGGUAGGGGUCCUGAGAGGGAGAUCCCCCACACUGGUACUGAGACACGGACCAGACUCCUACGAGAGGCAGCAGUGAGGAAUAUUGGUCAAUGGGCGCAAGCCUGAACCAGCCAUGCCGCGUGCAGGAUGACGGUCCUAUGGAUUGUAAACUGCUUUUAUACGGGAAGAAACACUGCUACGUGUAGCAGCUUGACGGUACCGUAAGAAUAAGGAUCGGCUAACUCCGUGCCAGCCGCCGCGGUAAGAC